UACGGUAGGGUGCAAGCGUUAAUCGGAAUUACUGGGCGUAAAGCGUGCGCAGGCGGUUUUGUAAGUCAGAUGUGAAAUCCCCGGGCUUAACCUGGGAACUGCGUUUGAAACUACAAGGCUAGAGUGUGGCAGAGGGGGGUGGAAUUCCACGUGUAGCAGUGAAAUGCGUAGAGAUGUGGAGGAACACCGAUGGCGAAGGCAGCCCCCUGGGUUAACACUGACGCUCAUGCACGAAAGCGUGGGGAGCAAACAGG
rnacentral:rRNA from 1 species